AAAACCUUAAUUUGUGUAAAACUUGUUAAACGUUUCUUAUAAUUUUAAAGAAUAAUGGAAACAUGAAGACAUGCAUGAUAUAUUUCAGAAACUCUAAGCUAUAUUAUAGCAGUAGUGUGUUAUAUCGGUAAACAUUCGGAUCUCUCUUGUUUUUCUCUAAUAAAAUACGAAUUGAGCCAUUUAACAGGCAUUUUUUUUUAAUAACUAGAUUAGACAUUUGUUCCAUGUAUAGUUUGUUGGAAAAUCAUAGAGCUGAAUAAACAAUUUAGAUGAUAAAACUAAGCACAUGAGUGGGCAAAGCCCCAUCAUCUUUUCUCAACAAUAAACCUGGGCUAUCCAAAGUUUAUAUAGCCUCAAAACAGAAUCAAGAAAGCUAGAAGAAAUCUGAACGAGUACGAUAGGAGCCGAAAACUCCAGGCCGAAAACAAAAGCCCAUAAACAUUAAGAUGGACUAUUUAUCUGGACUGGACUAUUUUUCAACAAAGUUCGAGUUUGAUAUUAUUUAUAACUUAUGAGUAAAGCUUUACUUAAUUUCUAUGUUUUAUUUAUUUUACAAUGCCAGUGUUAUUAUAUAUGACACCAUGCCUUCUGGAAAAUGUUGAACCUCGACAGUACAAUCGACUCCUAUGGAGAAUAUUGUUUACUUUUCAUUCUGGGACCACCCACCCCACGACAUUUAAUUUUCCAACUCACUUCUGCUUCUCCAGCUGGCUGCUUCUAAUAUAAAUCAUUAAAUUCUGUCCGCCUUGUCGGCUAUGGAAGAAAAUAAUACUACGAAAACCGAAGUUUAAUGAACGAGAAAGCGUGUUCUAAUAUUUUUUCCCACUUGGUAAAAAUAAUUAAUAUUUUAAAAAUAAAAAAAGUUUUUAGGCAAGUUGUUGGGUCGAGAAUCUCAUGAAAAGUUUAUUAUUUAUUUCAAAAUAGCAAUAUAGAAAAGUAAAAAAAAAAAUUGGGUAAAAGCAUUGGUGUCCGAAGAUGGAAUCUCAGUGAAGUCAGUCAAUUAGGCAUAUCGUAGAGGCGCUUCUGCGAAGUUACAUGCAUGGGCAAGUCAAUCGGAUCUGUAUUGAAGUCAAUGGGAUUUAAUUUGCAUGAUUUGCUUGGAAACAUUUAUAAAUUUGGACGUGAUCGAUGAAACUACUAGCUAUAUAGCUACGUAUAGCAUAAGCAUAUCCACCCAGAAGAGAGAUCAAUGGGAGUGUCAUCGUAUGUGUCCCAAUUUCUGAUGCUGCUUCUUCUUCUCGCCUCCAAUCUUUGCUUUCACUCCCACAAUGACACUGCAGGGAUGACCAUGAGAAAACUGGCAGGCGCCCUGCCGAGGGCCCCACCUCCACCGAAACGAUCUCCUGUUUGGACUCCUCGCCGACGUCCACGUGUCCCUUCAGUGGCCCCGCCGCCGCCGCCACUAUAGAACCUUCAAUUUCCAGACCAGAACGCAUGUGUACGUGUAAGUAUGGGUUAUUUAAUUUCUUCAAGAGAUUAUAUUAUGGCAUGAAAUAAUAAUGCCCUAGGGCAGCGAAUGUAAGGUGAUUAAAUUAAUGGAUAGCCUUACUGUUAAACAGUGUCUGUGCAUCACUCAUGCAACAUGGUAUCACAGUCGAAGGUUUUAUCCUUU